rnacentral:rRNA from 1 species
GAGACACGGCCCAGACUCCUACGGGAGGCAGCAGUAGGGAAUUUUAGACAAUGGGGGCAACCCUGAUCUAGCCAUGCCGCGUGUGUGAUGAAGGCCCUAGGGUCGUAAAGCACUUUCGCCAGAGAUGAUAAUGACAGUAUCUGGUAAAGAAACCCCGGCUAACUCCGUGCCAGCAGCCGCGGUAAUACGGAGGGGGUUAGCGUUGUUCGGAAUUACUGGGCGUAAAGCGCACGUAGGCGGAUUAGUAAGUUAGAGGUGAAAUCCCAGGGCUCAACCCUGGAACUGCCUUUAAUACUGCUAGUCUUGAGUUCGAGAGAGGUAAGUGGAAUUCCGAGUGUAGAGGUGAAAUUCGUAGAUAUUCGGAGGAACACCAGUGGCGAGGGCGGCUUACUGGCUCGAUACUGACGCUGAGGUGCGAAAGUGUGGGGAGCAAACAGGAUUAGAUACCCUGGUAGUCCACACCGUAAACGAUGAAUGCCAGACGUCAGCAAGUAUACUUGUUGGUGUCACACCUAACGGAUUAAGCAUUCCGCCUGGGGAGUACGGUCGCAAGAUUAAAACUCAAAGGAAUUGACGGGGGCCCGCACAAGCGGUGGAGCAUGUGGUUUAAUUCGAAGC